rnacentral:rRNA from 1 species
GACAGAGGGUGCAAACGUUGUUCGGAAUUACUGGGCGUAAAGCGCGCGUAGGCGGUUUUGCAAGCCAGAGGUGAAAUGCCUGAGCUCAACUUAGGAAUUGCCUUUGGGACUGCGAGGCUUUGAGGACUGGAGAGGUGAGUGGAAUUCCCAGUGUAGAGGUGAAAUUCGUAGAUAUUCGGAAGAACACCAGUGGCGAAGGCGACUCACUGGACAUGUAUUGACGCUGAGGUGCGAAAGCGUGGGGAGCAAACAGGG